rnacentral:rRNA from 1 species
GACGAACGCUGGCGGCGUGCCUAAUACAUGCAAGUAGAACGCUGAAGGAGGAGCUUGCUUCUCUGGAUGAGUUGCGAACGGGUGAGUAACGCGUAGGUAACCUGCCUGGUAGCGGGGGAUAACUAUUGGAAACGAUAGCUAAUACCGCAUAAUAGUAGAUGUUGCAUGACAUUUGCUUAAAAGGUGCAAUUGCAUCACUACCAGAUGGACCUGCGUUGUAUUAGCUAGUUGGUGGGGUAACGGCUCACCAAGGCGACGAUACAUAGCCGACCUGAGAGGGUGAUCGGCCACACUGGGACUGAGACACGGCCCAGACUCCUACGGGAGGCAGCAGUAGGGAAUCUUCGGCAAUGGGCGGAAGUCUGACCGACCAACGCCGCGUGAGUGAAGAAGGUUGUCGGAUCGUAAAGCUCUGUUGUAAGAGAAGAACGAGUGUGAGAGUGGAAAGUUCACACUGUGACGGUAUCUUACCAGAAAGGGACGGCUAACUACGUG